AAAAGAGGCAUUCAAACCGGUCCACACUGCAUAGCUGCAUGUCUCUGUCCAAAUGAAAGUUUUACUACGCUAGUUUACUGUGUGAACAGUAAAUGUCAGUAGAGUGGCACAGACAGGCGUCUAUUUUAGUGAGACGUUCCCAUGUGUGCUGAAACUAUAAAUCUAAGGAUUUUCUUCUUUCCUCUGUCAGCCAGUUAACUCGCACUGCUGUCUUUUCUUCAUCAAGCAGAUAACUGAGAACUGGAUGUCUGACGCAUGAGUAUCUCUACCUCCAUCACCAAAACCAAAACCCAAGAUCAUUUUAGCUCGUCGUCUGGGCUUGAAGGUGAGCGCCACCUGCUGACCACAGUUAUACACACAGUUUGCUGGGUAGGUACUUUUCUAUGCUCAAGUAGAGAUUCUACAUUGAUAACAAAAGUAAUAACUCUUUGCUUUGAUAUGACAACA
rnacentral:lncRNA from 1 species